rnacentral:rRNA from 1 species
GAUGAACGCUGGCGGCGUGCUUAACACAUGCAAGUCGAACGAGAAGUGAAGACGGAACCCUUCGGGCGGAAGGCUUUAUUUCGAGUGGCGGACGGGUGAGUAACGCGUGGGUAACCUGCCUCAUACAGGGGGAUAACAGUUGGAAACGACUGUUAAUACCGCAUAAGACCACAGCACCGCAUGGUGCGGGGGUAAAAACUCCGGUGGUAUGAGAUGGACCCGCGUUCGAUUAGCCAGUUGGCGGGGUAACGGCCCACCAAAGCGACGAUCGAUAGCCAAUCUGAGAGGAUGACCGGCCACAUUGGGACUGAGACACGGCCCAAACUCCUACGGGAGGCAGCAGUGGGGAAUAUUGCACAAUGGGGGAAACCCUGAUGCAGCGACGCCGCGUGAGUGAAGAAGUAUUUCGGUAUGUAAAGCUCUAUCAGCAGGGAAGAAAAUGACGGUACCUGAGUAAGAAGCCCCGGCUAACUACGUG